rnacentral:rRNA from 1 species
UUCAGCAGCUAUAUUUCACCUACAGUUCAGACUGGGUAAUCCAUCUGAAGCUAUGCAGGUUUGGGCCUGGCCAGUACUUGGAUGCAAGACCAACUAUGGAAGCUGGGUUUCUGCUGGAA